CAGACACGCAGAUUUGUAGCCCUCUUCCUACUUGACGUGACUACUCGUAUAAGGUGUCAGGUGGUAAUGAAAGCACAUGAUUCGUUCUGGUCUGUUGGUUAACUGGAAGCUGGCCGUACCCAACGAAUCCUUCUCCAUGACAUGGUCUUUAUUGGUUUUCUAUACUGUACCUGACUGUAAUGUCUGUUCAGAAACUAUGGAUGCAUCAAGAAGAAAACAAAGAAUCAUUAGUAAAACAACAAGUUACAAUUAAAAUCUAGAGUGUUAUGACAAUA